CUUCUGCCGAUAGUUAUCUUAGGCGUUGAAAGAUAGAAUCCAUCUUUGGAUGAUGUAUAAAGUGCAUAGGAAGAUUAGUCUAUUUUUUUUUUGACGUUGUAUGCUUAGCCAUUGUUAUAGACUUCAAAAUAAUAAUUUUUUAAGAACCGCCAACGGGUUCAAAUGACCCGUCAGGAGAUGCUACAACUGUGAACCACUUUUGCCGAUGCCCUUUAAAGCGUCCAUAGUUCUCUUGUAAAAAAACCGGUCCUCUUUUGUCGCAUUGUCCCCUUUUCAUUUUGGUUCACAAACUUUUCAUGCAGGUGUAAUUUUUUCUCUUCUACUUUCACCCUCAUGUUCUUCUCCUCUCUAACUUCUCUGAUCGAUUUUCUCCCUCUCCAUCCGCCAGUCACCUUCUCCCACUCCUUCCCCUGAUUCCGAGCUGAGACCUUCUUCCCUUACCAUAACUCUGGUCAAUUUUCUCCCUUUGACAACAACCCCGCUCCUUUGACAAUGUUGUCAUGUCCAAGAUUUGAAGAUGCUUUUGAAGUUUGAAUCUAAAAAUUUUAGUUUCACGCAACUUAAGUUAAUUAUGUAUAUUUUUUUUAUGAAAAUACCUAUAUUUAAGCGUGGAUCCAAAUAUCAAUUUUCUUUUUUGGAAAAUGUUUUGCUUUUAUGGAAUAUAUUGUUUUCAUGGAAAUGUUACCUGUUAUCUUAUCUAAUAUUUGUUAAAAAAAUGUUGAUAUGAA